rnacentral:rRNA from 1 species
CCUGGCUCAGGAUGAACGCUGGCGGCGUGCCUAAUACAUGCAAGUCGAGCGAACGGACGAGAAGCUUGCUUCUCUGAUGUUAGCGGCGGACGGGUGAGUAACACGUGGAUAACCUACCUAUAAGACUGGGAUAACUUCGGGAAACCGGAGCUAAUACCGGAUAAUAUUUUGAACCGCAUGGUUCAAAAGUGAAAGACGGUCUUGCUGUCACUUAUAGAUGGAUCCGCGCUGCAUUAGCUAGUUGGUAAGGUAACGGCUUACCAAGGCAACGAUGCAUAGCCGACCUGAGAGGGUGAUCGGCCACACUGGAACUGAGACACGGUCCAGACUCCUACGGGAGGCAGCAGUAGGGAAUCUUCCGCAAUGGGCGAAAGCCUGACGGAGCAACGCCGCGUGAGUGAUGAAGGUCUUCGGAUCGUAAAACUCUGUUAUUAGGGAAGAACAUAUGUGUAAGUAACUGUGCACAUCUUGACGGUACCUAAUCAGAAAGCCACGGCUAACUACGUGCCAGCAGCCGCGGUAAUACGUAGGUGGCAAGCGUUAUCCGGAAUUAUUGGGCGUAAAGCGCGCGUAGGCGGUUUUUUAAGUCUGAUGUGAAAGCCCACGGCUCAACCGUGGAGGGUCAUUGGAAACUGGAAAACUUGAGUGCAGAAGAGGAAAGUGGAAUUCCAUGUGUAGCGGUGAAAUGCGCAGAGAUAUGGAGGAACACCAGUGGCGAAGGCGACUUUCUGGUCUGUAACUGACGCUGAUGUGCGAAAGCGUGGGGAUCAAACAGGAUUAGAUACCCUGGUAGUCCACGCCGUAAACGAUGAGUGCUAAGUGUUAGGGGGUUUCCGCCCCUUAGUGCUGCAGCUAACGCAUUAAGCACUCCGCCUGGGGAGUACGACCGCAAGGUUGAAACUCAAAGGAAUUGACGGGGACCCGCACAAGCGGUGGAGCAUGUGGUUUAAUUCGAAGCAACGCGAAGAACCUUACCAAAUCUUGACAUCCUUUGACAACUCUAGAGAUAGAGCUUUCCCCUUCGGGGGACAAAGUGACAGGUGGUGCAUGGUUGUCGUCAGCUCGUGUCGUGAGAUGUUGGGUUAAGUCCCGCAACGAGCGCAACCCUUAAGCUUAGUUGCCAUCAUUAAGUUGGGCACUCUAAGUUGACUGCCGGUGACAAACCGGAGGAAGGUGGGGAUGACGUCAAAUCAUCAUGCCCCUUAUGAUUUGGGCUACACACGUGCUACAAUGGACAAUACAAAGGGCAGCGAAACCGCGAGGUCAAGCAAAUCCCAUAAAGUUGUUCUCAGUUCGGAUUGUAGUCUG